rnacentral:rRNA from 1 species
UGGGGAAUAUUGCACAAUGGGCGCAAGCCUGAUGCAGCCAUGCCGCGUGUAUGAAGAAGGCCUUCGGGUUGUAAAGUACUUUCAGCGGGGAGGAAGGGAGUAAAGUUAAUACCUUUGCUCAUUGACGUUACCCGCAGAAGAAGCACCGGCUAACUCCGUGCCAGCAGCCGCGGUAAUACGGAGGGUGCAAGCGUUAAUCGGAAUUACUGGGCGUAAAGCGCACGCAGGCGGUUUGUUAAGUCAGAUGUGAAAUCCUCGGGCUCAACCUGGGAACUGCAUCUGAUACUGGCAAGCUUGAGUCUCGUAGAGGGAGGUAGAAUUCCAGGUGUAGCGGUGAAAUGCGUAGAGAUCUGGAGGAAUACCGGUGGCGAAGGCGGCCCCCUGGACGAAGACUGACGCUCAGGUGCGAAAGCGUGGGGAGCAAACAGG